AGUGAACGCUGGCGGUAGGCCUAACACAUGCAAGUCGAACGGCAGCACAGUAAGAGCUUGCUCUUACGGGUGGCGAGUGGCGGACGGGUGAGGAAUACAUCGGAAUCUACUUUUUCGGGGGGGAUAACGUAGGGAAACUUACGCUAAUACCGCAUACGACCUACGGGUGAAAGCAGGGGAUCUUCGGACCUUGCGCGAUUGAAUGAGCCGAUGUCGGAUUAGCUAGUUGGCGGGGUAAAGGCCCACCAAGGCGACGAUCCGUAGCUGGUCUGAGAGGAUGAUCAGCCACACUGGAACUGAGACACGGUCCAGACUCCUACGGGAGGCAGCAGUGGGGAAUAUUGGACAAUGGGCGCAGGCCUGAUCCAGCCAUACCGCGUGGGUGAAGAAGGCCUUCGGGUUGUAAAGCCCUUUUGUUGGGAAAGAAAAGCAGCAGGUUAAUACCCCGCUGUUCUGACGGUACCCAAAGAAUAAGCACCGGCUAACUUCGUG
rnacentral:rRNA from 1 species